AGCGGCAGACGGGUGAGUAACGCGUGGGAAUCUACCUUAAGCUACGGGAUAACAGAGAGAAAUUUCUGCUAAUACCGUAUGUGGCCUAUGGGCGAAAGAUUUAUCGGCUUAAGAUGAGCCCGCGUUGGAUUAGCUAGUUGGUGGGGUAAAGGCCUACCAAGGCGACGAUCCAUAGCUGGUCUGAGAGGAUGAUCAGCCACACUGGGACUGAGACACGGCCCAGACCCCUACGGGAGACAGCAGUGGGGAAUAUUGGACAAUGGGCGGAAGCCUGAUCCAGCCAUGCCGCGUGAGUGAAGAAGGCCUUAGGGUUGUAAAGCUCUUUCACCGGUGAAGAUAAUGACGGUAACCGGAGAAGAAGCCCCGGCUAACUUCGUGCCAGCAGCCGCGGUAAUACGAAGGGGGCUAGCGUUGUUCGGAUUUACUGGGCGUAAAGCGCGCGUAGGCGGAUAGAUAAGUCAGAGGUGAAAUCCCGGGGCUCAACCCCGGAAUUGCCUUUGAUACUGUUUAUCUUGAGUGCAGAAGAGGUAAGUGGAAUUCCGAGUGUAGAGGUGAAAUUCGUAGAUAUUCGGAGGAACACCNGUGGCGAAGGCGGCUUACUGGUCUGCAACUGACGCUGAGGCGCGAAAGCGUGGGGAGCAAACAGGAUUAGAUACCCUGGUAGUCCACGCCGUAAACGAUGGAAGCCAGCCGUUGGCAGAUUUAUCUGUCGGUGGCGCA
rnacentral:rRNA from 2 species